CGGAUGCUCCACCGCAACAUCGCCGCAUGGAGUCUUCGUCUCCCCUGCGUCACCGUCACCUGACUUGGAACUUGCCAUUUUCUUAACGGAAACGAUGCGUAAACAACAAACUACCGCUAAGAGAAACAUGAGAUGAUAACGAGUGCCAUGGUCAGGUGGCUAGUAAGGUAUUAAAGAGUGGACCGAAAGGUUUUAAGGAACCCCACAAAGAUACAACACUCAUCUCCAAGGGAGAGUGGACCGAAAGUUUUGUCACUUUCGUCUCACUAUUUUUGCAAAUGGGAAUUAAGUAUAUACUUUGGCUUCCUUAUCUCAUACAUUAUCUCACUGUUUUAUUCUCAGCUUAGGAGUAUUAUUAUCUAGCCUAAAACAAAAGAAAGUCGUCGGAUAUAACAUCUCGGAUACUUGUAGGGGGAGGAAAAAUCUUUGGAGCUUCUUGGGGCUAUCCAAUUUGUUACCUCAACUUCACUCUAUGCAGUGCCAUGUAGGCUAUGAGACGAUAACCCACCAG